UUCAGGUUUGAAAACCUAUUAGGCUCUCCCAUGCUUUUAAGGUAGAGGAGGGACUAGUGGGGUAGUAGAACUACAUGGGCAUUGCUUCAGUUCAUUGUCUCUCAGAACUUGCUCUGAGUGGCCCCCUGCAGUUCUGAACGGUAAAUGGAAUGCAACCUAGUCACCCAGCAGCGACUGAGCGCCCUGACUGAGGAUGGGAACAUUUAAACUGGAGGCCAAGAGGAAGUCAAGAGGAGACCAGGUGGCACUAAACCCAACAGGAGCAGCAGCAGCAGCCAUGAUUUGAAAACGCGGCACCUCAGCAAUCUGGCAAGCGCUCCACUUGGAGAAGACUAUAUCUACCAGCUGCCUCCGAAAUCUAAGUUAUUAUUUGAGGACCCCACUGAGCAGACAUCAUUCGCCUAAUGUAGAUCCAGGGGGAGGCAACACUGGCCUGAAGCAGCGGCAUUUGGAGAAAAAAGAAAGAAGAAAUGGAUUUUCCUAAUGAGGCUUCCCCAAGCCACCAUUUCAUGCUGUAGCUGAAAGAAAGACACCAUCAAAGGAUCUUGAGGUGCUGAAGAAUCUCAGUGUAAAGAGGGGGUAAGACGCCAGCUACUUCAUAACAAGGCUGUAGAAAUGUCUGUUACAUUUAAAGAGUGUAAGUCACCCCCCCACACACACACACCAUGCACAGAAGAACUGUGUAAUUACACAGAUGACCAACAGAUCCGUGGAGGCACACAGCAUAUGCAAAAUCACACACACAGACUGAACGGCUGCAUGUCUGAUGAUGGUUAGGAUGAAUUAAUUUCACAGCCUACUUCUCCUGUGGAAGAUGACCUCCUUUAUGCAAAUGAAGGGUGUGUGGCCAUCUCUGAAUUUCCACUAAAAAGCCUUUGAAAGCAAGUGGCAGAAACUACAGCCCCCAGAAGAGUAGCUUUCAUUUGUUACAAAGCCUACGCAGAAGUUCUCCAGGACCGACAACCAAAUCGUUUCAGAACAUCAAGAAGAUCCCAGUGAUAAUGUCUGAUUCACGUGGCUGCGGACCCACUUGGCUGUUAGAAGAUGAAACGCAACAACGCCCAGAAGGCACCUAGCCUACGUGACGCUCGCCGCUGCCAUAGCUGUCCUCAGAGUAUGCUCCUGCAGAAUAUCAGGAUCCAUUAAAGAAAAUUACCUCAAAACUUGUCUCUAAAAGCCUUGAGCAUCUCAUCCAGAUGUGCAAGUGGGCAGCUGGUCCCUCCUCGGUGGCCUGAUGGGUAGAAUGGCCUCUUCUGUGUUGAUGACAGACAUGUUACAUACAAUCUCAGUGGUGCAGAAACUGGACGGGUCCCAGUUUAUAUAAACCUGAGAAAGGGGAUUGUGAAGUUUUUGUUUCAUUUCUCUCUCGCCAAUCACUUUAUGAAGAGAAAUACUAGAUUAUUUAGACACAUUAUUCAUACUCGCUUAUUUGUGAUUCUGUGCUGUGUACCACAGUAAAUGUUUUGCAUGUAUUUUUUUUUCUAAUCCUACUCACAAAAAUGCAUCCAUGGAUCCUGUUCCUUCAGCCGUUGGAUGUAGAUCCAGGUUCGCGUCACAGACGAGGAAUCUGAAGUUUCGGAGAGUUUUAGUACUUUACCCCGGGCCCGUUAUGACUUGAGCUUAGGACUCCGGCGCUGCUGCCUGCAAAUCCUUCAUAACGUCUUCUCUUAAAAAUCUUCCUUUGUGUUUGAUUUCAUCAGCCUUCGCUCAUUAAACGUGGGGUUGGCUGUGAGCGGUGACGGGGUGUUUGUACAUGUAAGUGUAAGGAGAUAGCCGCGUUAGAUAGCCCGAUCACGCGUGCCCUUGGAAUCUGGCGUCAGUUCUGCUUGGCGCCAGCAGGUGGCAGGCUUGUAUCAGUCAGCACUCCUACAAAGCGCAAGGAAUUAUUUUAAUGGCAAACUGUGGAAAUCAUCACUCAUCUCUUUGGGGCCCGUUUUGAAGGACUGACGACAGCUGACCUUGUUCACUUACUCUCAUGCAAGGAGUGAGAAAUGAAAUAAGCUGCCUUUGAACUGACUUCUUACUCUUGAAAAUGGCUCUUGGAUGUUUUGUACGCACUCACUCCAUUACAAAUGUUAAGACAGUUAGCACAGGUACUGUUGGCACCUACAUUUAUCACCUCUACUAAGUUUAUCCUUGCAGUCUCUCAUCUCAGCUGAUGUUCGCAGAAUACUGGGGUUUGAACUUGGACUUGGUGAUAUUUGAGAAGCAUCUGUAAAGCCAUUUAGGGAGCAGUGUUGGGAGCACUCAGUGAUGGAGUACAUGCCUAGUGUGGUGGUUUGAACGUAAUUGGCCCCCAUCAUCUCACAGGGAGUGGCACUAUUAGAUGUGGUUUUAAUGGAGUGGGCGUGGCCUUGUUGGAGGAAGUGUGCCACUGUGGGGACGAGCUUUGAGGUUUCCUAUGCUCAGGAUACCACCCAGUGUCUCAGUUGACUUCCUGCUGUCUACAAGAUGUAGGACUCUUAGCUACUACUCCAGCACCACAUCUUCCUGCAUGCUGCCAUGCUCUCCACCAUGGUGACAGUGGACUGAACCUCUGAAACUGUAAACCACCACCCCAGUUAAAUGUUUUACUUUAUAAGAGUUGCUGUGGUCAUGGUGUCUCUUCACAUCAAUAGAAACCCUAACUAAGACACCUAGCAUGUGUGAAGCUCUAGGUCCAAUACUCAGCACCCCUGAACCUCCAUUUCCCUAUCUGUAACACAGCUGUGGUUGAUGAUGGUGAUGGUAAUGAUGGUUCCUAUGCUCUCUUAUGAGGAUGAAAGCCAUAUGGAAAGGACUUUGUAUAGAAUUUACCCAAGAUGGUCAUUUUAGAUGACUGAUCCAAAGUAGAAAAACACCUUAGUGUUUGAUAGUCCCUGAUAAGGACUACAUUGUAAGAAACUCAGGGCUAGGGUUUAGCUAGGUCCCAGGAAACUUUCUUACUUUUUAUUGGAAUGUCUUGUCCACAGCUUAACCUCAUGCCUUGUAACCUCUUACAGAGAAUCAUUGAACAAAUCAGCUUAUAUUUUACAUUCUAUGACGCCAGUCUCUAGGGGUGAUUUUUCAGGGUAACCACCCUGUGACCUGACUUCAACUCAGUUUUACUAAUGGCCACUGCUACUUGCCAGCUAGUGUCCCUGAAGGAAGGGUCUGCAGCAGGCAGCCGGUCCACUCUUGGAACCCAGGUGACCCAUAAUUCUCACUUGCCGGCCAUGCAUGUUCUGAGUUUCUCUUUCCCCAGAAGAACCUUUCUCCAGCCAGGAGCCUCAUCUAUUCUCCAGUUCUAAGCAUGCUCUGCUAACCCAUGCUGUGAGCUUCCUGGCAAGGCAGAUCCCCUGAUGUUUAAGGGCAGGAUCUGGUUUCACUUCGAAAUGAAAUCCUGACAAGUUGUUUAAACUUUGCAUAGGUUUUCACAUCCCUGCGAUGAGAAUAAUAAUAGUCUCAACCUCAUAAGGAUAAUCUAGGGAUUUAAAGAGAUAAAGUUUAGAAAACACUUGGUACAGAGGAUGGGACAAAAUAAAUGCCCAGCACUCAGCAGCUAACGUUAGCAUCAAACAGAUUAUGUGGUACUUUUUAUGGCUUUUGAUUAUGCCUCUUCUUUCUGAGUGGGUAGUCAAAUUUAGGAUUCAGAGUUCAUGCUUAAUGCCUGUUGAAAGUCUUUGUACUGCCUUGUAUAGUCUCUAAACAUGACAGAUACACCAUGUUUUUUUAAAACAUAUUAACCAUUCUUUCUUAGCAUUAUAAAGUAAAAUUCACCUUCAAGAUUUAAAUUUUUUUAAUAGAGGAUCUACCUAGACACUGGCUGAGGGUCACAUAGCCAUGUGCCAAGAAAUGAUAAAGCUGUCCAUUCACUACUCACUAGACAAGGUUCCAUUCAGAGUAGUUUGUUGGUGCUAACAGAUAUUUAUUGAGGCAGAAUUUAUUUUCUACACUGUAGCAUGAAUCUUCAAAGUUCUUAUUAAUAAAAUCAAACCUGAGGCCAGUUAUUGGGGUGAAAUGCUGGAAGAUCAGAGAGACAGAACAAGCCACAGCUUCCUCACCUGGCCAAUUCCUCAGCUGAUCUUGUUCCCUCAAACUGGAAGCCUCUGUGUCCUCAUAUCCGAAUGGCUCUCAGCUGAACUGUGCUGCUCAAAACCUAAAAGCUUAACUAGCCAAAUGCUUCUAGUUUCUGGUCUUCACGCCUUAUAUACCUUUCUACUUUCUACCCUCACUCCCUUGGAUUAAAGGCUCGCUUUCUGGGAUUAAAGGCGUGUUUCUGUUCUGCCUUCUCAUUGGUUGUAAACCCAACCACAUGACCUCCUAGUCACUGUCUGUCUGUACAGACCUCCAGGUCUUCUAUGGUUGGUAUUGAGAUUAAA